rnacentral:rRNA from 1 species
GACGAACGCUGGCGGCGUGCCUAAUACAUGCAAGUUGAGCGAUGAAGAUUGGUGCUUGCACCAAUUUGAAGAGCAGCGAACGGGUGAGUAACGCGUGGGGAAUCUGCCUUUGAGCGGGGGACAACAUUUGGAAACGAAUGCUAAUACCGCAUAACAACUUUAAACAUAAGUUUUAAGUUUGAAAGAUGCAAUUGCAUCACUCAAAGAUGAUCCCGCGUUGUAUUAGCUAGUUGGUGAGGUAAAGGCUCACCAAGGCGAUGGUACAUAGCCGACCUGAGAGGGUGAUCGGCCACAUUGGGACUGGGACACGGCCCAAACUCAUACGGGAGGCAGCAGUAGGGAAUCUUCGGAAAUGGACGAAAGUCUGACCGAGCAACGCCGCGUGAGUGAAGAAGGUUUUCGGAUCGUAAAACUCUGUUGGUAGAGAAGAACGUUGGUGAGAGUGGAAAGCUCAUCAAGUGACGGUAACUACCCAGAAAGGGACGGCUAACUACGUG